AUGAACGCUAGCUACAGGCUUAACACAUGCAAGUCGAGGGGCAGCAUGGUCUUAGCUUGCUAAGGCCGAUGGCGACCGGCGCACGGGUGAGUAACACGUAUCCAACCUGCCGUCUACUCUUGGACAGCCUUCUGAAAGGAAGAUUAAUACAAGAUGGCAUCAUGAGUCCGCAUGUUCACAUGAUUAAAGGUAUUCCGGUAGACGAUGGGGAUGCGUUCCAUUAGAUAGUAGGCGGGGUAACGGCCCACCUAGUCUUCGAUGGAUAGGGGUUCUGAGAGGAAGGUCCCCCACAUUGGAACUGAGACACGGUCCAAACUCCUACGGGAGGCAGCAGUGAGGAAUAUUGGUCAAUGGGCGAGAGCCUGAACCAGCCAAGUAGCGUGAAGGAUGACUGCCCUAUGGGUUGUAAACUUCUUUUAUAAAGGAAUAAAGUCGGGUAUGGAUACCCGUUUGCAUGUACUUUAUGAAUAAGGAUCGGCUAACUCCGUGCCAGCAGCCGCGGUAAUACGGAGGAUCCGAGCGUUAUCCGGAUUUAUUGGGUUUAAAGGGAGCGUAGAUGGAUGUUUAAGUCAGUUGUGAAAGUUUGCGGCUCAACCGUAAAAUUGCAGUUGAUACUGGAUAUCUUGAGUGCAGUUGAGGCAGGCGGAAUUCGUGGUGUAGCGGUGAAAUGCUUAGAUAUCACGAAGAACUCCGAUUGCGAAGGCAGCCUGCUAAGCUGCAACUGACAUUGAGGCUCGAAAGUGUGGGUAUCAAACAGGAUUAGAUACCCUGGUAGUCCACACGGUAAACGAUGGAUACUCGCUGUUUGCGAUAUACAGCAAGCGGCCAAGCGAAAGCGUUAAGUAUUCCACCUGGGGAGUACGCCGGCAACGGUGAAACUCAAAGGAAUUGACGGGGGCCCGCACAAGCGGAGGAACAUGUGGUUUAAUUCGAUGAUACGCGAGGAACCUUACCCGGGCUUAAAUUGCAGAUGAAUUACGGUGAAAGCCGUAAGCCGCAAGGCAUCUGUGAAGGUGCUGCAUGGUUGUCGUCAGCUCGUGCCGUGAGGUGUCGGCUUAAGUGCCAUAACGAGCGCAACCCUUGUUGUCAGUUACUAACAGGUUCCGCUGAGGACUCUGACAAGACUGCCAUCGUAAGAUGUGAGGAAGGUGGGGAUGACGUCAAAUCAGCACGGCCCUUACGUCCGGGGCUACACACGUGUUACAAUGGGGGGUACAGAGGGCCGCUACCACGCGAGUGGAUGCCAAUCCCAAAAACCUCUCUCAGUUCGGACUGGAGUCUGCAACCCGACUCCACGAAGCUGGAUUCGCUAGUAAUCGCGCAUCAGCCACGGCGCGGUGAAUACGUUCCCGGGCCUUGUACACACCGCCCGUCAAGCCAUGGGAGCCGGGGGUACCUGAAGUGCGUAACCGCGAGGAGCGCCCUAGGGUAAAACUGGUGACUGGGGCU
rnacentral:rRNA from 1 species